rnacentral:rRNA from 1 species
UGAGCAAUCUGCCCUUCUCAUCGGAAUAAGCGUUGGAAACGACGUCUAAUGCCGAAUACGACCUCCUUUCGCAUGAUCGGAGGUGGAAAGCUCCGGCGGAGAAGGAUGAGCUCGCGGCCUAUCAGCUAGUUGGUGAGGUCAUGGCUCACCAAGGCGACGGACGGGUAGCUGGUCCGAGAGGAUGGCCAGCCACAGUUGGGACUGGAGACACCGGCACGUA